GAUGAACGCUGGCGGCGUGCUUAACACAUGCAAGUCGAACGAGGAGUGAAGACGGAAACCUUCGGGCGGAAGGCUUUAUUUCGAGUGGCGGACGGGUGAGUAACGCGUGGGUAACCUGCCUCAUACAGGGGGAUAACAGUUGGAAACGACUGUUAAUACCGCAUAAGACCACAGCACCGCAUGGUGCGGGGGUAAAAACUCCGGUGGUAUGAGAUGGACCCGCGUUCGAUUAGCCAGUUGGCGGGGUAACGGCCCACCAAAGCGACGAUCGAUAGCCGAUCUGAGAGGAUGACCGGCCACAUUGGGACUGAGACACGGCCCAAACUCCUACGGGAGGCAGCAGUGGGGAAUAUUGCACAAUGGGGGAAACCCUGAUGCAGCGACGCCGCGUGAGUGAAGAAGUAUUUCGGUAUGUAAAGCUCUAUCAGCAGGGAAGAAAAUGACGGUACCUGAGUAAGAAGCCCCGGCUAACUACGUG
rnacentral:rRNA from 1 species